CCCUAGCCCCCAUUUUGCUUUACCAGCCGACCUUUAGCUAAAUCAUUUGGCCCUCGCCUCCAUCGUCCCCAACCGCAGGCACAUUCUCCUUUUGAAAACAAUUUUCAACCUCGAGACCCCUCCUUCACCCUAGAUUUCAACGAAGCAAGGAGGAGUCAACGGCAGAUUCGCGAGGUAAGCCUCCUAUUCUCUUCUCUUUUUGAAUAUCAGAAUCACAAAUCCAAAAAGAAAAACUAAAGAAAAUAAAGUAUUUAGGGAUUUUUUGAAUAAAAAAUCACCUUGCUCUUUUUUUUGAUUGCUUUGUAUUGCUUCUCUGUGCGUAACGUUUACAAAGAUUAAAAUCAUGGCUUUAUAGCCGAAAAAAAAAAGAAAAAUCAAUGAAAAAAAUACCAUAUUUUCUUUGUUUGUAUUAGCUGCUGUGGUUUGUCUGUUCUUCGCAGGUACGGGGUGCGUAGGCAUCAUACGGAGGUUGUGUUGGCGCUGGCGUGGUUGCUGGAGGGUACGGAGGCUAGGGCUGCUGCGGCGCAAGCAGAAACUACUAAGGUUUCUGCCUUGGCUCUUGUUUUAGGCAUUGGGCCUAUGUAUUAGGUUUUGGGUCUAAGCAAUGGGUUUGGGCUAGGGUAUUAGUUAUUGGGUUUUGGUUUGUAAAUGGACAUUUAAUUAAUGGACAGUUAAUUUUUUUGUUUAUUAUUAUAUAUAUAUUUUUAUUUUAGACUUUGGUUCUGACGUGGGCCCAAGCAAAUUGGCUCAUUUACACCUCAACUUGAGUUUUUCAAAAAUAGAUAAAGUUAUUAAAUUAAUACUAGCUCGU
rnacentral:lncRNA from 1 species